UACGAAGGGGGCUAGCGUUGUUCGGAAUUACUGGGCGUAAGGCGCGCGCAGGCGGUCCUUCAAGUCAGAGGUGAAAGCCCAGAGCUCAACUCUGGAAUGGCCUUUGAGACUAGAGGACUUGGGUACGGGAGAGGUGAGUGGAAUUCCGAGUGUAGAGGUGAAAUUCGUAGAUAUUCGCAAGAACACCAGUGGCGAAGGCGGCUCACUGGCCCGGUACUGACGCUGAGGUGCGAAAGCGUGGGGAGCAAACAGG
rnacentral:rRNA from 1 species